rnacentral:rRNA from 1 species
UACGUAGGGUGCAAGCGUUGUCCGGAAUUAUUGGGCGUAAAGAGCUCGUAGGCGGUCUGUCGCGUCGGAUGUGAAAACCCAGGGCUCAACCCUGGGCCUGCAUUCGAUACGGGCAGACUAGAGUACGGCAGGGGAGACUGGAAUUCCUGGUGUAGCGGUGAAAUGCGCAGAUAUCGGAAGGAACACCAGUGGCGAAAGCGGCUUCCUGGUCCAGCACCGACGUUCAGGCACGAAAGCGUGGGGAGCAAACAGG